CAGGCCCUCGUGCCCGCCCCAACCCGAAGGAGCUCUGUGCUGGAAGAGAUCCUGAGAUAGAGGGAAGGAAGGCAGAACCUGGGCUGUUAAUUAAUUUGCUCAGGAUUCCCCUCCAGCAAGCCUUCGGCAUUCCCUGUUUUUUCUUAAUUACGCUCCUAGGACAAGCACAGACAGCUAGGGAUGGGAAGAGAGGACAGAGGAAGCGCGGGCACUUUGAAAGGCUUGCGUCAUGUCACAAAGCCACAUCUAGAAGAUCAAAAUGAACCAGACUGCUGCUGCUCCUGCUGUGACCACGUUACUGUAAUCAAACGAGAUCACCAAGGGGCCUCUCGGUACCAGGUGGACUGGGCACUCCUGCCCGUGGAGAGCAGCCAAGCCAGAUCAGCUUCUCAUUACUGUCCCAGCUGGCUUUUGCAUUACUACUUCCCCCGUCAAAUUGUGUUUCAGUUUGAGUAAUCUUUGAUCAUUUAGAGCGUAAUGCUUGAAAUGUUCCUAUCAGAUGAGAAGACGUGUUUUGGGAGAAUCUCACCUCAAACUCUCUUUGGUACUUGGUGAAGUAGGGAAGGCAACCAAUAUCUCAAAAAUGCACUCGUUCUAUUCAGGACAAAGAAGAUGGGACACAUAAAACACGUUAUCUCUGUAGCCGAGGGACACUGAAAUGGACAGGAUACCCUGUUUACAGCAGCUGUGGGCUGGGGAUGACCCACGAUUGCAGCUGGUGGGGCCCCUGUAAGAGCAGUGUCCCUGAACCCAACACGCUGCAGGAGCUGAUGCCAGACUCUUGUGCUGUCACGGCAGAGACAUGACUCCCACUUUGGCAGCUGGACCCGCAUGGAGACUUCCCUUGGGGAGACCUCUGCUCUUGAUGGGGGCGCCCCUCUGCAACCGAAGUUGACUGUGGGGUUCAAGGGUCCGGUAGAACUGAGUGCAAACCAUUGUUCAUCUUCCUGUUUCCAAAGUAUCACCAGGCAAAGCCACUGCCCCUGUCCAUUCACCCUUGGCUGCAGUGCUUGCAGCUCCAUGGAUAGCAGCUCAGGGUGGAGCUCCCGGGCUCUGGAGACGUCCCAGGCACAACACAUGGCUCACUCCCAUGCACCAGGCGUGUGCUGAGGCUGUGUGACAAACAGCGGCAAACUGGGUGGCUUAAAGCAACAGAGUCUACGGUCACAGUUCUGGAGAUGAGAAGUCCCAAAUAAAGGCAUCGGUAGGGCUACUUUCUCUCUGCAACCUGUAGGGCAGAUUCCUUGCUUAUCUCUUUCAAAUUCCUAAUUUUCUCCAAGACCCACACCUUGUCACCUUUUUCCUGGAUGUCUCUGUGUCUACACAUUGCAUUUUCAUCUUUCAGUGUCUCUCUCCUCUUCUUAAAAGGAUACUAGCAAUGUUGCAUGAAGAACAGUCUUACACCAGAAGGAAAUCAUCUUAACUACACCUGCAAUGGCCUUAUUUACAUUAAGGUCACAUUCUGAGGUUCCAGCAGGUAAGACUUCAACAUGGCCUUUCCAGAGACACAAUUCAGCCCACAGCCUGUGGGCUCUUUUUGUUCUCUGCAGGACCACCAUUUAGUAUUUGCUUGUGUUUGUGUUUCACACCAUGGGGUUGCAUUCAGGACCUGGCAGGAAGUGGAGGCCAGACAUAACUUUUGAUUGGCUCCCUUAGAAAGGGCUAGAGACUGAUUGAGUUAGGACCAGAGGGCUCAUUUUUCAAACUUAGGUAGACAUCGGAAUUGGCUAGCAGUGAGCCGCAGUACUGAGGACCCACCUGGAGUGAUUUGGGGGAAAGCGGUUUGGGUGAAGCCUGGGUCUUUAGAUUUUUAAAAGCUCCCUAGAUGACCACAGGGUGCAGGCAUAUCUGCAAACCACUGGCCUGGAAGUACUCACAGUGAGCGGUGGCAGGUUUCCACUUGACUUAAAAAAAUGAACUGAAGGAAUGAGGCUGUGUGUUUAUCCAGACCUCAUGGGCCCAGCUGUAUUUGAGAGCUCACACAUUUUAUUAGAAUUCAAAAUAGAAAUAUGGACGGUAUAUAGCAUAUAACAUAAAACUUCAAGUGGAGUCUGGACAGUGCCCUUUCAUCAGAUUUUAUAUUUUUUGCAGUGAGACCUGUAAACAUGUUAUAAAAGAUCUAUAUCAGUUGAAGUCGUAUCUUGAUGCCAAAUGAGAACUGGCACUGAACUGUGAGAGAAAUUUUUGGAUUUAAAUUCUUUAUAGAUUCAUGAAGACAAGAUGUAAUCAUAAUACUCAGUAUUUCAGAGCCAAGGUAAUAUGCAUCAAUAUCAUAGUGAAAGUAUAGCAUCCUAACUAGAAGGAAAGUGUGAAGGGUUUUGCUAUACUGUGAGGGAUUGGUCUGAUCAUCCAUUUCUCUCACCAGAAGCAGCUCCCAAAGCCAUAUCUAUACCUGCAGAGUUAUUUACAAACUUUCUGUCAAAGCAACAAAAACAUUUUAGGUUUUUGUUUGUGGCUACUGCUCCACUGCAAGCAUGUACUGGGUGGAAUCAUGUCCCCUUGUUAUAGCUAAUGUCUAGAUGCCCUCCCAAAGCUUCAAGCAGUCAUGGGGGGUGGGCUUUUCACAGGUAGCUGGGUCUAGAGUAUGUGAUGCUGGGAUAGAGGUGUGUGACUGGUAAAUCAGCCCACUGAUUGGUUUGGCGUAGUUCUACCUAGGAUUAGGGGUGUAAGUGCUACACACUCCCUAGGGCAGGUACUGUAAGGGACAUCUUGAGCCUCUCCACAAGAGGGGCACCAUGAACUGUUCUCUGUGUCGCCCUCUGCCAUGCCACCCUGGCAGAAGGUGGCACCUUGCAGUCAGCUGAUUAUGUACUGAAACCUCUACAGACUGUAAGCCAAACACUCUUUCCUCUCUUAACUUGGGUGUCAGGUAUUUUGCCUCAGUAACAAGAAAAGUAACUAAGACAGCCCCCAAAGUCAUGUCCUUUACCUAGCUGCAGCCUGCUGUGCACUGGCAUGAGGAGAGAGCUGCUGCAAGUGUAAUUUAAAAUGAGAUCACACUGCAGGGGGCUAACCCUGUCUCUAGGAUGGUGGGAGAGAUAGGCAUGUGCCAUAUGAAGGUGACAGAGGACACAGGGACAUCAACAUUUGAUAUCAAAGGCAAAGAUGGAGUUACCCAGCUGCCAGCCAGGGCUAAAGAUUGUAGGUGACAGACGUGAAAAGCAAAGAACAGACAUCAUUCUUCUCUAGACCCUUCGGGGUCAGCAUGGUCUGCUCCCUCAGAUCUCAGACCCUUGUCCUUCUGCACAGUGAGGCGAUGCAUGGUGCUGCUGGAAGCCACCAUGUUUGUGGUAAUUUGCGAUGGCAGCCCUACGACAUUUACAUUAGGGCAUGGUGGUGGUUCUCACGAGAGAAAGAAGACUGAGCCUGAUCUUUGUCACCAUGCUGUGAUGGGCUCUGCAGUGGAGAAAGUCUCACUGAUCAUUUUACAGCUGUGUGUAUGUGUGGUGUGUACGCGGAAAGAGAGACAGAGACCCGAGUGUUGAAGCCAUUGAAGCUGAAUACAUGUGCAGGGGGCUGUGGCAUGGCCUGGGCAUGGCUGAACUGAGAAUGAGAAGACACCUCAGGGGCAAGACAGGCCACAGCAGAGGCCACCUGGAGACUUUCCGGAUAGUUUUCCUUAAUUAGCAGCCUCUGGUGCUCCCAGGGGUCCUUAAGCCCCGCCAAGAUUCUUCCAUUGUCCACUCAGCUCCUUGCUUGUUCUGAUUAAAUACGGGCUGCCUAGUGUCUCCGAUCAGCCAGCUAGCAGAGUUAUGAGCUCUGCUGAGGAUCUCACUCCUCCUGCAGCCCUAAGAAUCAUGCGGGUGUCUCAUUCCUUUGAGCCUUUGCUGUGCAGCCAUUUGGAGAAUUGGGGUCUAGGAACAGACUCAAAUAACAGACAGAAACUCACUUGUGAUAAUUUUUUUCUUGCAGUACUGGGGAUUAAACUCAGGGGUACUCUACCACUGAGCUAUACCCCAACUUUUUUAUUUUAUUUAAGAAAGAGUCUAAGUUAUCCUGGCUGGCCUCAAACUUGCUAUUCGCCUGCCUCAGCCUCCCAAUGAGCUGGUAUUUCAGAUGUGUGCUCCCAUAGCAGGUCAAAGAAAAAAUUUUAAACUAGUAUUUUCAUUUAUUUCUAACUAGAGUAAAACCUGAAUGAAGACUAAAAAUGUUUCAUGUAAGCUAAGAAAUAAAUUCAUUCUACUGGUAGUUAUUGAACUUCUCUGUGUAGAUAACACACAGGAAGGGAUAAUUGCCAUCAUAGAAUGUAUAAGAAGGGGAGGAAAUAAACAAAUCAGUGACUAAAUCAGAGCAAAAACUGAUCUCUCCCCUGGUUUACUUCAGAAAAAAAGGGGCAGAUAAACUGAUUGAUACAAAGAGAUGCAUGGGAAGCACGGAAUAAAGGGAAACUUGCAGAGAGAUCAUCUAAAGGGAUACUGGGGCAGAGCUGGGGCAGUUACCCUUCCGCCCCGCUUGAUCUGCACCUCCUCACAGCUCAUGUGCACCGUGCAGCCUCCCUGGAAGUCCCUGGAAGAGCUGAUGUGCGAGUUACCCGCCUUGUCUCUUCAAGAGAGAAAGGGUGAACUGAUGAGCUAAGACCUACAGGGGUGUAGUGAAGAGCAGCUUUUAUGUUGGGCAUAGGAUGAGUUUGGGGAGCAGGUUGUCCCCACAUUAUAAUAAGCCUGAUUUUCAUCUUGAGCAACUUAUUAUCAUUCUCAGAGCCAGAAUAUUUGCAUGACAAUGUGACUCCCAGUGCUCAUGAGGCAAUGUCCUGCCCUCUAUUGAAGCAACACUGUGCCCUUUUUUGGUUUACCUUUUUUAAGUUUAUUGUUACAGUUUAGACAUACAUAAUGAUCAUAUCCAUCAUAGGGAAUUUGUACCUGUACAUGAUAUACCUUAGUUCCCCCUUUUCUCCCGUUACCAGAAUCUCCCCUCUCUUCAACCCUUUUUUCCCUCCUUAUUUACAAAACUUUGUUUUCAUUUUAUCAUUUUUUCUCUUAUAUCUGCCCCCCGCCCCAGUCCCCUUUGCUUUGGGGAAAUUUCUUCCUAUUUCACAGUAUCUAUCCAGUAUGCAUUUUGGUUCUUAUUUACACUUUCAGCGUCUGGAGUGUUCCCUUGUGCUGUUGAAUCUGGUGCUGAAGGUAAGGCUGGCAUUACUGCGUUCCACGUGACAGAUGAGGAAGGUAAGUGACCUCCCAUAACUGACUAGUGACAGCACAGCGACCAGCUUGGUCCCAGGCCUGGUGACUUCGGGCCCAGGGAUGUGCAUGUUGCCAGCCCAGAUCUCUGUGCUCGAUGGCACACGGCUGGGGUGAGGGCAAGCGUUACAGAAGCAGGACUUGGGAUGAGCCCACUUCAUCCAGAAUAACUCAGCAUCUUAGAACGUGGGGACCAUGAGAACUUCAAUACUUUCAGCCUCUGUUUUCUCAGGCCUGAAAUGAGGCUUCUCCUACUGUCCUGGGAAGUAGACAGUGAUUAAUGAUCUGAUGGCCAAGGAGCCGUGAUUUGAAGAUGAUAUUCACAACUGGAAAUUAUUGUUAGAGGCAACGCAUGCAUCUGAAGUCAUGAGCAGACCUCUAGCCAGAGUUUACUGUGUGAGUUCACACACCCUAGAGAUCAGAGGUUCAGCCAUUAAUAACACAGAGGAAAUGAGCGAGCUCCCCACGCCUUCCCGCCAUCCCACCAGCUGCACUGUAUCCACGGGGCCAGGCAGCAGGCUUUCCACGUGCUCGCCCCCAGCUUGUGCUAUCACUCCUGAGAGACACACUGCUCAUCUGCAGACCCCACUCUCUGGACAGGAGGGCGGGAAGUCACAUGGAGCCGUGGCAGAUAAAUACUGUGGAUGAGGAGUCGCGGUGUUGUUUUUACCAGCCUGCCUGCCUGUUGGAUGACCCUGGGCAGCAGCAUUUGCCAUGUUUCUCAUUGCACCUGAUAAAGGCACUUAUGUUGGAUUACACACAUACGACUUUCAGCGUUGAACCUAAUGGUAGCCAAGGGGUGGACAUUACUGUCUCCAUGAAGUGGAUGGUGGCUGAUAGUCACCUUCGUUCCUGCCUAAUUGCCACCAGUUAACUAGGAUGUGCGUAACCCAGGAGAUGUACUACUGUCCAGACUUUAGCCAACUGAGCUGACAUGGGGGUGCAAAUCCUGGCUCCCUAAUUCGAAGUGGGGCAUGUUCUGUGGUGCAGCUUGGGCCUUAAAGCUGAUCCUGAAUCCACAGACUUUCUCAGCUUUCUGCCCUUCCCUAUCCUUGCUUCCCUAACCCUCCCCUCCUGGGACCACUGUCACCAUAAAUCUCUUGAAUGAAGUACCUGCCUGGGCUUCAUCUCCAAGGAACUAUACCCAGUUCGGGGUCUGGAUCCAUUCCUGAAAUGUGGGCUGAAUUCAGAUGAACUAUGAAAACUGAUGUUCUCAUUCUCAUGUAAUGAACCAUCCUUAUCCACCCAAGUCAUGUGGAAAAUAUGAAUCAUUCUAGAUCUCCACAGCUCACAUCCAUUUACCAAACUCUGUUCAUUUCACCUCAAAAACACACUCCAAGUUUAUGCACAUGUCUCUCUCCCUAUGUCCAUGCUCUUGGUUCUGGAUCUCAGAAUCUCUCUGAGAUGGGCUUUAUAUCUCCAGGCUCUUUCUUGGCAUUGAGGUUGGAGCAGCAAAUCUUACCACAAUGCCUACUUCCUGAAAUACUCCCUGCCUCCCUCUGCCCACGAUAGUGGGUCUCCCUAGAGUUUUCUUGAGGCCACAUGCUGUCCAAAUGGAGUCCAGCUGUCUUCUUCUGGUCAAAUAUUCUUGAGCUUUUUUAACAGUGUAAAAUAAUGAGAGUCAUCAUUGA